rnacentral:rRNA from 2 species
UGCAGAAUCCCGUGAACCAUCGAGUUUUUGAACGCAAGUUGCGCCCAAAGCCUUUUGGUUGAGGGCACGUCUGCCUGGGUGUCA